rnacentral:rRNA from 1 species
UACGUAGGGUGCGAGCGUUGCCCGGAUUUAUUGGGCGUAAAGGGCGCGUAGGCGGCUCGGCACGUCCGUUGUGAAAUCGCCCGGCUCAACUGGGCGGGGUCAGCGGAUACGGUCGAGCUUGAGCAAGCUAGGGGGUAAUGGAAUUCCCGGUGUAGUGGUGGAAUGCGUAGAUAUCGGGAGGAACACCAGUGGCGAAGGCGGUUUCCUGGGGCUUUGCUGACGCUGAUGCGCGAAAGCGUGGGGAGCGAACCGG